UGGAGGCACACAAAGGAGCUGUUCUGGCGGGGAAAUGGAGCCACGAUGGGACUGCUCUGAUUACAGCUGGUGAGGAUGGGCAGAUUAAGAUCUGGUCCAAAAGUGGCAUGCUGCGUUCAACGCUAGCCCAGCAAGGUUCUCCUGUUUAUUCUGUUGCCUGGGGUCCAGAUUCAGGCAGAAUCCUCUACACAUCAGGCAGACAGCUGGUCAUCAAGCCCCUGCAGCCCAACGAUAAAGUCAUCCAGUGGAAGGCUCAUGAUGGAAUCAUUUUGAAGGUAGACUGGAACUCUGUCAAUGACUUCAUACUCUCGGGCGGAGAAGACUGUAAAUAUAAGGUGUGGGAUAGCUAUGGCCGUCUGUUGUACUCCUCGUCACCUCACGACUAUCCGAUCACCUCCUUGGCCUGGGCUCCGGAUGGAGAAGUGUUUGCUGUGGGCUCCUUCAACACCCUGCGCCUCUGCGACAAAACUGGGUGGUCCUAUGCAUUGGAGAAGCCGAACACGGGCAGCGUGUUCAACUUGGCCUGGUCUGCAGACGGCACCCAGCUUGCCGGGGCUUGUGGCAAUGGGCAUGUCAUCUUUGCCCACAUUGUAGAGCAGCAUUGGGAGUGGAGGAACUUUGUCAUCACGCUCAUUAAGAGGAGGACCAUGCAGGUGAGGAACGUAGUGAACGACGCGGUGGACCUGCUGGAGUUCAAAGACCGGGUGAUCAAGGCGUCGCUGGCUCACGGCUACCUGGUGGUCACCACGUCUCUCCAGUGCUACAUCUACAACUCUAGGAACUGGAAUACUCCUCUCAUCUUUGAUUUGAAGGAGGGAACAGUUAGCCUCAUUCUGCAGGCUGAGAAACACUUCCUACUCGUGGACGGAGCGGGCCUCUAUGUGUACUCCUAUGAGGGCCGACUGAUCUCCUCCCCUAAGUUCCCCGGUAUGAGGGCCGAUAUCCUGAAUGCACAGGCCGUCUCCCUCAGCAACGACACCCUCGCCAUCAGAGACAAGAGCAAUGAGAAGGGCAUCUUUCUCUUCGAUGCCCUAACUGGGAAACCCCUCAGCGAUGGGAAGCCCUUGACACACAAGUUGGAGGUGGUGGAGAUAGCUUUGGACCAGUUCGGGCCAUCCAACGAAAGGAAAAUUGCCCUGAUAGACAAGAAUCGUGACCUCUACUUGACCCCUGUAAGCCGUCUUGGCCGAGAACACAAGAUCUGCAAGAUCGGUACCAUGGUUCACACUAUGAAAUGGAAUGAAGCUGCUAACAUCCUGUGUGGUAUCCAGGAAAACCAGUUGACAGUGUGGUACUAUCCCACGGCUGUCUUCAUUGACAAAGACCUGCUUCCCAAAACCCUGUAUAUCAAGGAUGGCAGUGAGUUCAGCCAUGCGCCCCAUAUUCUGAGCUACGUGGGUACCAAGGUAACAGUACGUCAAGGGGAUGGUUCGCUGGUGUACAGCUGUGUGUCUCCCUACCCCAUCCAGCUCCACAACUACAGUGCCUCCGCCCACUGGGAGGAAGCACUGCGCCUUUGCCGCUUUGCCAAGGACAAAUCUCUGUGGGCAUGUCUUGCUGGCAUGGCAAUGGCCAGCAGGGAGUUGACCACAGCGGAGUUGGCCUACGCUGCCAUCGGAGAGGUGCCUAGGGUGCAGUAUAUCAAGUUUAUAAAGGAGCAGCCAUCUAAGGAGUCAUCUGUGGCCCACAUGCUGCUGUUUAGUGGCCACGUCCAGGAGGCCGAGGCCACUCUGUUACAGGCUGGACUCGUUUACCAGGCCAUACAAGUCAACAUCACCCUCUUCAACUGGGACAAGGCACUUGACCUGGCUGUGAAACAUAAAACCCAUGUGGACACUGUGCUGGCCUUCAGGGAGAAAUUUCUGCAGAAGUUCUGUAGGAAGGAGACCAACAAGAGGUUCCUGCAGUAUGCUGAAGGGGUGGAGGUGGACUGGGAGAAGAUUCAGGCGAAGAUCGAAAUGGAGCUGUCUAAGGAGAGAGAAAAUGCUGCUAACGCCUCUGUCAGAAGCAGCGUUGCCUUGCGGCGCUGACCAUCGGGGGGCCUCGCUUCUCUAAACCAGAUCCUGAUGCUCUGAAGUUUAUUGGUCGAGGGUUCGAGAAAUUGAAUUAUUUGGAUUUACAUUUCCCAGUGAAUUUUUAAUGGCUUGGUAAAGACUUGGGGUAAGGAAACGCUCUCAUGACGUGAAGGACAAUAUCCGCCACCAGUUACCGUUCACUUUUUUUUUUUUUUAAUCCAGAGUUGGAGAUGGACAUGUUGGCAGGAGGUUGAUGUUUUGUUAUGUCAAACACACCACAACGUUUUUCUGUUACUGCCACUGUGGGACUUUGCAUUUUGAUACAAAUGAGUAUUUUUCUUAAUCAUAACUUUUAAAACUUAAAACUCUUUUAUCCUGCUGAAGAAGAGCAGCUGAGUAUGUGUUCAUGUGUGUUUUGUGGUGUUUGGGGCUCUUCCUUCAUGGUGUGUUUCUUGCUUUACCGGUUUUCUCUACAGAGUUAAGGGACGUGUGUUUGAACAUGCACGUGUGACGACUUGAGCAUCUGCAUGGUGUUUUGUGUGUGUGUGUGUGUAUGUGCUCUUUUUUAUGCACAUUUAGGCAUUCGGUGUGUGCAUUGGUGCUUCUGUGUGUGCGAGUCAUGGGUAUAUUUUCUCAGCUGAAGUGUGAAACCAACCGCUUGCCAUGCAGCUCCACCCCCUGGCUGGCAGGAGGCCAGUACAUCAGAGGACCAUUAUAGCCUCUCCGUCUCCUCCGGAGUUGCCCGCUGUUGUGAGAGGGACAAACGAGGGGGCAGAUCUUCUGUGGAGCAUCCAGCAACACACACAGUUUGGGAAACUGCCGUAUCAUAGUCCCAUCCACCACCAGGGACUCCGGUGCGCUUACCGUGGCCCAGCGUUGUGCCGUCUGAUUAAAGUUUAAUGCUGGGGAACUCGGAUGACGGGUUGUGCCGCGGGCCCCCGGACUCACUCUGACAGCUUGAACAGAGGAGCGAUACAACCUCGGACAAACUUAGACAAACUACGAUGAGUGUAACAAGAUAAAAGGAGGACAGGGAGGGAAAGAGGCCCUGCUUACCACGCCUCCUGUGGGUUGUAUACCGUAACGCGAAGCAGCUCGAUGCAGAAUGCCCCCGUGCCGGGACACCAUCAGUCGGUUAUAAGCAUGGUUCUGAUGCUGUUUUGGGGGAGGGGGGUUCCCCUUUUUCUCCCCAGUUGUACUUGGCCAAUUACCCCACUCUUCUGAACUGUCCCAGUCAUUGCCCCACCUCCUCUGCCGAUCCGGGGAGGGCUGCAGACUACCACAUGCCUCCUCCGAUACAUGUGGACUCGCCAGCUGCUUCUUUUGACCUGACAGUGAGGACUUUUACCAGGGGGACGUAGUGCGUGGGAGGAUCACGCUAUCCCCCCAGUUCCCCCUCCCCCGUGAACAGGCGCCCCAACCGACCAGAGGAGGCGCUAGUGCAGCGACCAGGAUACAUACCCACAUCCGGCUUCCCACCCGCAGACACGGCCAAUUGUGUCUGUAGGGACGCCCAACCAAGCCAGAGGUAACACGGGGAUUCGAACCGGCGCUCCCCGUGUUGGUAGGCAAUGGAAUAGACCGCUACGCUACCCAGACACCCGGUUCUGAUGCUUUUUAAGUCCAAAGUUCGGCCGCGCACAAAUGUGAUCCUCUUGCAGCAAAAUCCAAGAGUUGUGCUCGCAGCCUAAUCCUACUGGCUUUCACAGGCAGCCACAGUCACACGCCGGAGAGUAGCUCUGGCUUGUCCCCUGUCCCGUGUGCGACCGUGUGGACAUGGCUGUGUCAGAACUGUGAGUGCUUCACGUGAGCUAACGUAGAUCUCCGUGUUCCUUAACUACAAAAUAACUGACAGCAAGUAAGUCGCUACUCAUUCUGGUGAUUUAGGGUGCUUGGAUGGUGUACGCUGCCCGGUAAUGCAAUGCCACAACGAGUCUCAGUUGUUUUGCUUAAUGGCUCAUAUCCUCUUUAGAGCCCUCCAGAUAAAUCAGUUUAGCUCAAGUGAUGAGAUGAACGAAUCGGUAAUUAAAUCUGGGCAGUAUAUAUUCAGAGGACUCGGUUGCACUCUUGCUGCUCCGACUCGGGGUCGUUAAUGAUUCUGUUUGCUUGCUUUAGGUAGACAGAGUUCUCCUGGUGGAUAGAUGCUAGGCUGUUCUUCCUGUAAUGGAUUUGUCUGCUCUUCUGUUGGCAAGAGACAAAUGGUGUGGUAAUGUUUCUCCUUUGGGCCUGGGCUGGAGAGAGGAUGUGGUAAUUGUGACUGUUUACCACAUGCAAUUACUGUCAAAGUAAAGUGAUGUGUACUACCCAAUUAAGCCUUUUUCAGUUACGCAAUAUUGUGAGACAUUUAUUGGGCAAUCAUAAUGCAUGCCGUGUAAACAAGGCACACUACAGUGAGCUAGUGCCGAGGUGCACGCGGGCGUCAGUUAGGAGCACGGCAGCUACCCGCUAACACGUGGACACUUGCCCGCUGUCCAGUCACUUCGUUCAGAAAUGGACAGCUAGGGGACAGCUCAAACGCUGUGGAAACUACUGCCAUACGUAGACCCGGUGAUUAUUAGUGACGCGCCGUUCACUAACCUGCUGUCUUUCAGUGUGCGUGUGGAGCGCCGGGCCACCAGAAUACCAAAUAAACCAUGGUUGAU